CAACGCCGCGUGAACGAUGAAGGCCUUCGGGUUGUAAAGUUCUGUUGUUAGGGACGAACAAGUACCGGCGUAACUACCGGUACCUUGACGGUACCUCACCAGAAAGCCACGGCUAACUACGUGCCAGCAGCCGCGGUAAUACGUAGGUGGCAAGCGUUGUCCGGAAUUAUUGGGCGUAAAGCGCGCGCAGGCGGCUUCUUAAGUCUGAUGUGAAAUCUCGGGGCUCAACCCCGAGCGGCCAUUGGAAACUGGGAAGCUUGAGUGCAGAAGAGGAGAGUGGAAUUCCACGUGUAGCGGUGAAAUGCGUAGAUAUGUGGAGGAACACCAGUGGCGAAGGCGACUCUCUGGUCUGUAACUGACGCUGAGGCGCGAAAGCGUGGGGAGCAAACAGGAUUAGAUACCCUGGUAGUCCACGCCGUAAACGAUGAGUGCUAGGUGUUAGGGGUUUCGAUGCCCGUAGUGCCGAAGUAAACACAUUAAGCACUCCGCCUGGGGAGUACGGCCGCAAGGCUG
rnacentral:rRNA from 1 species